rnacentral:rRNA from 1 species
CUACGGGUGGCUGCAGUGAGGAAUAUUGCACAAUGGGGGAAACCCUGAUGCAGCAACGCCGCGUGGAGGAUGACGCAUUUCGGUGUGUAAACUCCUUUUAUAUGUCAAGAAAAUGACGGUAGCAUAUGAAUAAGCACCGGCUAACUCCGUGCCAGCAGCCGCGGUAAUACGGAGGGUGCAAGCGUUACUCGGAAUCACUGGGCGUAAAGGACGCGUAGGCGGGUUGUCAAGUCAGGUGUGAAAUCCUACAGCUUAACUGUAGAACUGCACUUGAAACUGGCAGCCUAGAGUAUGGGAAAAAAAGAUGGAAUUAGUAGUGUAGGGGUAAAAUCCGUAGAUAUUACUAGGAAUAUCAAAAGCGAAGGCGAUCUCCUGGAACAUUACUGACGCUAAGGCGUGAAAGCGUGGGGAGCAAACAGGAUUAGAUACCCCGGUAGUC